rnacentral:rRNA from 1 species
ACGGGAGGCAGCAGUGGGGAAUAUUGCACAAUGGGCGAAAGCCUGAUGCAGCGACGCCGCGUGGGGGAUGACGGUCUUCGGAUUGUAAACCCCUUUCAGUAGGGACGAAGCGCAAGUGACGGUACCUGCAGAAGAAGCACCGGCUAACUACGUGCCAGCAGCCGCGGUAAUACGUAGGGUGCGAGCGUUGUCCGGAAUUACUGGGCGUAAAGAGCUCGUAGGCGGUUUGUCACGUCGUCUGUGAAAUCCCUCGGCUUAACCGGGGGCGUGCAGGCGAUACGGGCAGACUUGAGUACUACAGGGGAGACUGGAAUUCCUGGUGUAGCGGUGAAAUGCGCAGAUAUCAGGAGGAACACCGGUGGCGAAGGCGGGUCUCUGGGUAGUAACUGACGCUGAGGAGCGAAAGCAUGGGUAGCGAACAGGAUUAGAUACCCUGGUAGUCCAUGCCGUAAACGGUGGGCGCUAGGUGUGGGGUCCUUCCACGGACUCCGUGCCGUAGCUAACGCAUUAAGCGCCCCGCCUGGGGAGUACGGCCGCAAGGCUAAAACUCAAAGGAAUUGACGGGGGCCCGCACAAGCGGCGGAGCAUGUGGAUUAAUUCGAUGCAACGCGAAGAACCUUACCUAGGCUUGACAUAUACAGGACGACGGCAGAGAUGUCGUUUCCCUUGUGGCUUGUAUACAGGU